UACGUAGGGUGCGAGCGUUAAUCGGAAUUACUGGGCGUAAAGCGUGCGCAGGCGGCUUUGCAAGACAGAUGUGAAAUCCCCGGGCUCAACCUGGGAACUGCAUUUGUGACUGCAAGGCUAGAGUACGGCAGAGGGGGAUGGAAUUCCGCGUGUAGCAGUGAAAUGCGUAGAUAUGCGGAGGAACACCAAUGGCGAAGGCAAUCCCCUGGGCCUGUACUGACGCUCAUGCACGAAAGCGUGGCGAGCAAACAGG
rnacentral:rRNA from 1 species